UUCUGGCUCAGGAUGAACGCUAGCUACAGGCUUAACACAUGCAAGUCGAGGGGGCAUCAGGGAUCUAGCUUGCUAGAUCUGCUGGCGACCGGCGCACGGGUGAGUAACGCGUAUCCAACCUCCCCCAUAGUAGAGGAUAGCCCGGUGAAAAUCGGAUUAAUACUCUAUGUUGUAUAACGAGGACAUCUGAAUUAUACCAAAGGUUCACCGCUAUGGGAUGGGGAUGCGUCUGAUUAGGUUGUUGGCGGGGUAACGGCCCACCAAGCCAUCGAUCAGUAGGGGUUCUGAGAGGAAGGUCCCCCACAUUGGAACUGAGACACGGUCCAAACUCCUACGGGAGGCAGCAGUGAGGAAUAUUGGUCAAUGGGCGCGAGCCUGAACCAGCCAAGUAGCGUGCAGGAAUGACGGCCCUAUGGGUUGUAAACUGCUUUUAUGCGGGGAUAAAGUGCAGCACGUGUGCUGUUUUGUAGGUACCGCAUGAAUAAGGACCGGCUGAUUCCGUGCCAGCCGCGGC
rnacentral:rRNA from 1 species